GUGAGGAACCUGCCUUGGAGAGGGGAAUAACACUCCGAAAGGAGUGCUAAUACCGCAUGAUGCAGUUGGGUCGCAUGGCUCUGACUGCCAAAGAUUUAUCGCUCUGAGAUGGCCUCGCGUCUGAUUAGCUAGUAGGCGGGGUAACGGCCCACCUAGGCGACGAUCAGUAGCCGGACUGAGAGGUUGACCGGCCACAUUGGGACUGAGACACGGCCCAGACUCCUACGGGAGGCAGCAUG
rnacentral:rRNA from 1 species